rnacentral:lncRNA from 1 species
AUUGGCCUGGGGCAAAGGGAAUGCAUAGGUACACAGUCCUGUAAAGGCAGCUGCUGCCCUCUUGACUAUCCCUGAGAUGUAUGAAUCUGGAAAGUCUACUUCUUUACAUAACAUACUGAAAUUGUCAUCUCAACAAUAACAAUUAUCAAUAUGACCCUUCGGAUUCCUGAUUUUCUCCAGAGUCAAAAUGGCAAUGAGGCAAAUGUUUUGAAAAGACUCAAGACAUCGAGGCAACCUUAA